UGUGAAGGUCCACCUGGAUGCUCAGCCAGACUUCGAGUCAGGCAGAAACCAGAACAGAGGAAGACUAUCACUGCAAAUUGCACCUUAUGAAAGAUGGGCUGCUGAAGGUCGAGUAUGAGUUAAGGAACAGGAGGGAACUUCAAAGGGUGAAGAGCCUGGACUUGCAAGUUGUUUUCCUCAGUGAGGAUGUUGCAUGAAAGAACUGGCAGACACUCCACUGCCAACCAGUUUUAAUCAUGAUACCUUUGAUUAAAUGGGCCCAAGCUUAUGCAGCAGAGAAUAAAGGGCAUAGUGCUACAGCUUUUAAGGAAAUGCCAUCAGAGGAGUUCCACCCACAGACUGGGAGUCUGGAGUCUGACUUACCACGUGAGCUGAGCUCACAUGAACCCCGAGCACAUCGCAGUUAGUGCUUUGCCCAUGAGACUACAACAAGCCAGGAGAGCUGUCAGGUGGUCACUUUGCAUCAUGAGCAAAUGGAAAACUACUGAGGCAGGGACAUCUUCUGUCCUUGACCUGUGUUUCCAGCUGUCUGUUACCAUUAAUAAUCCUUACUUGUUUGGGUUGGGACUGUGUUAUCCUUGGUGCAGUACAAAGAGUCAAGUGAUUUUUUUUUCCCCUUGAAAUGUGUUUGCUAUGACCUGUGGACAGUGACAGCAUCCUGGUCUCAGUUUUAUUUUCUUGAUAAAUCUACACAAGAGCCAGAGGUGCUGGAUUUCUGUCUGCAGAGCAUCACUGAAAUACUGAACUCUGGUGGGACCAGUUUUGACCAUAGGACAGAUCCCUAAAGUUAAGAGAACCCUCCUUAACCCAGAGAUCACAACUUUGUAGCCAUUCAACAGGGUUCCACAAUCAUACAUCAAAAACACUAAAAGUUUAAGAGGAAAUACUUCAAACUCACUAGAUACCCAUCAGUGUUAAGAUGAAUCUUCAAAUAGACAAGAAAAAGACAACGAGCAGUCCUUCAAUUUGGAAACAAUUUUUUUUUUCCCCUAGAAAACAGUGAGUUUUUAACCUCUCUCACCUUCUCUGUAUACCAAUUCUUCAAAAGGCUGAGCAGCCAUAACAGAGUUAUUUCCUUAUUUCCAUCUAUUAGCACUCAUUGAUCGGCUGUAUCACACACAGAUUGCCAGCUGUCUUUGGGCCUGUCUUGCUAUUCCAGUUCUGAACAACACUGAGCAUGACAGAUUCAGGGGCUUCAAAAACAAGGAUGAAUAAUGCCGGUACAGAACUCCACUAGCUUCUGAAGUGUAGCUCCUGGAAGUGUGGCCAAAAAUCCAAAUUUGUAUUGUUUUACCUCCGUUUUCCUCAUUCACAGGGGCAGUUGAGUGAGAUCUCUCCCUCCAGAGUUGUGGCAGUACUGAGCCAGUUGUCCUCUCAGUAAUGCUCCUGAGAAAAAUGGACACAAAGUGAGCCUCUUGCAGUGUCACUUCUCAUGGGCAGAAUAAAAAACUGCCAACAGAUUCCUAAAUGUACAAUUGCUUAGGAAAGAGAUGUAAGAAACAGCUCCAUGCAAAAGUCUGCCAACUUAUUUUUGCAGACUACGUAUUGUACAUGUGCAUAUUAAAUAUCAUGAUUCUCCUGAACAGCCUUAAGUACUUCCUGAAUAAUAUAAAAGAACAAACAAUGCUUUUAAAACAAUCUUAGUGCUGUGUCACCCCUUUUUCCUCUUAGUAUACAGUCAUUAUAAAGAUUAAAAAGUGACAAAGUAAAAAAUAUUUUAAAACCUGUAACAUAGAUGUCACUCAGUACUUUUUUAAAAUUGGUACUUAUAGCAUAAGAAAAUGGAGAACAACUUUUUCAAAUAAAUUAUAAAGGUGAUGAAACCUUUCUCUUCAUACAGGUUUUGGAUAGUUAAUGUUGGUAGUGCACCUUUUAGAUGCAAUUAUAGAGCACAUCUGUUUUUAUAGCAAAUAAAUGAUUGCUGUGUGCAAAUCUAA